UGGACAUAGACCUCUCCAAUGCUCGCCAC
rnacentral:sRNA from 1 species